AAGGAGAUAAAGAGAAAAUUCUGUAUAAAAAACCUGAAUAGAGUGGUUUUU
rnacentral:sRNA from 1 species